ACGAACGCUGGCGGCGUGCUUAACACAUGCAAGUCGAGCGGAAAGGCCCUUCGGGGUACUCGAGCGGCGAACGGGUGAGUAACACGUGGGUAACCUGCCUUCAGCUCUGGGAUAAGCCUGGGAAACUGGGCCUAAUACCGGAUACGACACGCGACCGCAUGGUGUGUGUGUGGAAAGACCAUUACAUUGUAGUGGUUGGCUGGAGAUGGACUCGCGGCCUAUCAGCUUGUUGGUGGGGUAGUGGCCUACCAAGGCGAUGACGGGUAGCCGGCCUGAGAGGGCGACCGGCCACACUGGGACUGAGACACGGCCCAGACUCCUACGGGAGGCAGCAGUGGGGAAUAUUGCGCAACGGGCGAAAGCCUGACGCAGCAACGCCGCGUGAGGGAUGACGGCCUUCGGGUUGUAGACCUCUUUCAGCGCUGACGAAGCCUCUUGGGGUGACGGUAGGCGCAGAAGAAGCACCGGCUAACUACGUGCCAGCAGCCGCGGUAAUACGUAGGGUGCGAGCGUUGUCCGGAAUUAUUGGGCGUAAAGGGCUCGUAGGCGGUUUGUUGCGUCUGCUGUGAAAGCCCGGGGCUUAACCCCGGGUCUGCAGUGGAUACGGGCAGGCUAGAGUCCGGCAGGGGAGACUGGAAUUCCUGGUGUAGCGGUGGAAUGCGCAGAUAUCAGGAGGAACACCGGUGGCGAAGGCGGGUCUCUGGGCCGGUACUGACGCUGAGGAGCGAAAGCGUGGGGAGCGAACAGGAUUAGAUACCCUGGUAGUCCACGCCGUAAACGUUGGGCGCUAGGUGUGGGUUCCCUUCCACGGGAUCCGUGCCGUAGCUAACGCAUUAAGCGCCCCGCCUGGGGAGUACGGCCGCAAGGCUAAAACUCAAAUGAA
rnacentral:rRNA from 1 species